rnacentral:rRNA from 1 species
AUUGAACGCUGGCGGCAUGCUUUACACAUGCAAGUCGAACGGUAACAGGCCGCAAGGUGCUGACGAGUGGCGAACGGGUGAGUAAUGCAUCGGAACGUGCCCAGUCGUGGGGGAUAACGCAGCGAAAGCUGUGCUAAUACCGCAUACGAUCUGUGGAUGAAAGCGGGGGACCUUCGGGCCUCGCGCGAUUGGAGCGGCCGAUGUCAGAUUAGGUAGUUGGUGGGGUAAAGGCGCACCAAGACGACGAUCUGUAGCUGGGCUGAGAGGACGACCAGCCACACUGGGACUGAGACACGGCGCAGACUCCUACGGGAGGCAGCAGUGGGGAAUUUUGGACAAUGGGCGCAAGCCUGAUCCAGCAAUGCCGCGUGCAGGAAGAAGGCCUUCGGGUUGUAAACUGCUUUUGUACGGAGCGAAAAGGCUCCCUCUAAUACAGGGGGCUCAUGACGGUACCGUAAGAAUAAGCACCGGCUAACUACGUGCCAGCCGCCGCAGUAAAAC